rnacentral:rRNA from 1 species
CCUACGGGCGGCUGCAGUGAGGAAUAUUGGUCAAUGGGCGCGAGCCUGAACCAGCCACGUAGCGUGAAGGAUGACUGCCCUACGGGUUGUAAACUUCUUUUAUAAAGGAAUAAAGUGAGGCACGUGAGCCUUUUUGUAUGUACUUUAUGAAUAAGGAUCGGCUAACUCCGUGCCAGCAGCCGCGGUAAUACGGAGGAUCCGAGCGUUAUCCGGAUUUAUUGGGUUUAAAGGGAGCGUAGAUGGGUUGUUAAGUUAGUUGUGAAAGUUUGCGGCUCAACCGUAAAAUUGCAAUUGAUACUGGCAGUCUUGAGUACAGUUGAGGUAGGCGGAAUUCGUGGUGUAGCGGUGAAAUGCUUAGAUAUCACGAAGAACCCCGAUUGCGAAGGCAGCUUACUAAACUGUGACUGACAUUGAUGCUCGAAAGUGUGGGUAGCAAACAGGAUUAGAUACCCCGGUAGUC